CGCGGCCUAUCAGCUUGUUGGUGAGGUAAUGGCUCACCAAGGCGACGACGGGUAGCCGGCCUGAGAGGGUGACCGGCCACACUGGGACUGAGACACGGCCCAGACUCCUACGGGAGGCAGCAGUGGGGAAUAUUGCACAAUGGGCGAAAGCCUGAUGCAGCGACGCCGCGUGAGGGAUGACGGCCUUCGGGUUGUAAACCUCUUUCAGUAGGGAACAAGGCCAGUGUUUAGCUGGUUGAGGGUACUUGCAGAAGAAGCGCCGGCUAACUACGUGCCAGCAGCCGCGGUAAUACGUAGGGCGCAAGCGUUAUCCGGAAUUAUUGGGCGUAAAGAGCUCGUAGGCGGUUUGUCGCGUCUGCCGUGAAAGUCCGGGGCUCAACCCCGGAUCUGCGGUGGGUACGGGCAGACUAGAGUGAUGUAGGGGAGACUGGAAUUCCUGGUGUAGCGGUGAAAUGCGCAGAUAUCAGGAGGAACACCGAUGGCGAAGGCAGGUCUCUGGGCAUUAACUGACGCUGAGGAGCGAAAGCAUGGGGAGCGAACAGGAUUAGAUACCCUGGUAGUCCAUGCCGUAAACGUUGGGCACUAGGUGUGGGGGACAUUCCACGUUUUCCGCGCCGUAGCUAACGCAUUAAGUGCC
rnacentral:rRNA from 1 species